CCCAACCCNNNNNNNNNCCCACCCCCCCCACCCCCCCCCACACCAUCCCCACCACUUCAGCCAUCCUGGCCUCCGUAAUUCCUUCAAUAAAUCGAUUGCUAUCUGUACUCAGGACUACCACCUUUCCGCUCCUGCUCUUUGCAAGACUGUCUUCUGUUCUCAAAUUUCAUUUCCUCCUGGAGGCCUCCCGUGACCUUGAGUUCCUCUCCAUCAUCUCCGCAUAGUUUAUUUCCUUCUUGUGUAUUUCUUGAAAUCCAAAGUCACUGUAUUCAUGUGUCGCUGGAGUUUCUCUCUGGACUCUGAGCGCCGGUUUUUAUUCAAAAUGAGCUGGCACUUACGGAGUAAGCCAGUGCCUUCCGUUUCUUCAGAAGCAAAACAGCCUGCUUGGUCUUCUUGUAGCUUUCAACUUUAUCUUCAGCCACCAAAGGAAGUUCAGGAGCUUCCUCUGCACGGUGACCUCGGCAUGGCCAGCGGUGGCGAGGCUGAGGCGGCUGGCGCAGAGGAGAUGGCUCAUCACUGCUGCACUAUACUCGCUCUGCGGCGCCAGCGUUGUCAGGUCCUGGUUGGCGCAAACAGGCGGCCCCCACGACACAUAUUUCCAGAAGCUCCCUGGGCAGAAUGGGGAGUCCCGCCUCCUGGAACCCUGGGAAUUCGAGCCACAGCUCUGCCGGUACCCCGAGACUCGGCACCGGUUCGAUGGCCUGCUGACCCACUGGCAGCAGAGGGCUGUCUGUUGCUUUUGCGCAAGUUGGUGUGAACCAAGUUCACACUAUCUGGUCUUGUGGGAGCCUUGAACACAGCAGGCAAAGUGACAUUUUUGCCAGAGGACCCCCCCUUUUCGGAGCACACUGGGGUCAGUGGACGAGCACACGCCAUGGUGGGGAGAGAAGGCCAUGCUCCUCUCAACCCGGCAGCUCCCACAGGAAACGUUUUCCGUACUUUUAAACUUUGCCCAAAUAAAUGAAACUCCAAAAAAAAACCCAACACUUUAUUAUUAUUGAGCAACUGUCAUGGAUUAGAUACGUUAUUUUCUGUUUGUUUUGUAAUGAUUUUUAAAACUUUAUUUUGAAAUAAUUAUAGGUUUAUAGGAAGUUAUAUAAGUAGUACAGAAAGGGAACUGAAGGUUACAUUUUGCUUAAGAUUUAUCCACUGAAAGCUGAAUCUUACAUAACUAUAUGCAAUAUCAAAACAAGGAAGUUGGCCUUGAUAUGAUGGCUUGUAUGGUAUUAUGACAGCUUAGAUUUGUAUAAAACCUCCACCCACAAUCAGGACACGGAACCAUUUCACCCACACAAAGAUCUGCCUUGUGUUAUUCCCUUAGGCACACUUCCCUCCCUCUCUCACCAACUCUAACCCUAGGCAAUCUCAUUAAUCCUUUCUCUCAUCGCUAUAGUUUUGUCAUUUUCAGAAUGUGAUUUAAAUGGAAUCAUACAGUUACACAAUCAUUCAUAAAAUCUAAUUUUAAAAAUCCCAUCUAGGAAGCAGAUUCUUCUUGCAAGAACCCAUCUCCUUUUCCAUGUAAUUUCUUAAUAUUCCAUAUAUUUAUACUGUUUUCAAAAGCAAAAACCAGGAUAACAUAUGUACAAUAAUGUACAUUGCAGUAUUAUCAUAAUAGCCCAAACUGGAAACAACCCACAAGUUCAUCAACAGGAGCACAGAUAAAUGCAUUAUGGCUGAUUUAUACAGUCAAACACCAGACAACAAUAAAGAAAAGUGGAUAAGAGAUAUGCAUGAUGGUAUGGCUGAAAUCUCACUGAUGCUACAUUGAGCUAAAGAGGUGAGGCACAAACAGAAAAUAAUGUAUAAUUUCACUUACAUGAAGUUCAAGAGUAGGCAGAACUAAUUGAUGCUGAUAGGAGUCAGAAUAGAGGUUCACUGAAGGAGAGGAGAUAUCGACUGGGAAGGGACAUGAGAUAACUUUUUAGGGUGCCAGAAGUAUCUUCUAUCUUGAUCUGGGUAACGGUUAUAAAAAUGAAUAUCUGUUUAAAACUUAAGCUUAGGAUUCUGCAUGUUACCACUUUACUGUCUGAAUUUUGUACCUCUGUUUAAAGAAUCUGUUCAUGUUUGGUCGCCUGGUUCUUCGCUGCUGCAUGCGGCUGCCUCCAGCUGCAGAGCGGGGAGGCUCCUGCCCGUCGCACUGUGCGGGCUUCAUUGCGCGGCUUCUCUUGCUGCAGAGCACCUGCUGUAGGUGUCCAGGCUCUGUAGUCCUGGCUCAGGGCUUAUCUGCUCCAAGGCAUGUGGAAUCUUCCCGGACCAGGAAUUGAACCCGAGCUAUCUGCGUCCAAGGCAUGUGGAAUCUUCCCGGACCAGGAUUUGAACCCGAGCUAUCUGCAGUGGCAGGCAGAUUCUUAUCCACUGUGCCUCCAGGGAAGUCCUGUACCUCAAUCUUAAAGUGUCAGGGCACAGGGUUUGGCACAGGGGUGGAGUCCUUACAUCACUGCUGUAAUGAGACCCAAUGCUUAGAAUCGUGGCUUUCCCAGGGAAGUACACCGUGACCAACUGUAUAAAGUGUCUGGCCCACCUUCUCCUGGGGGCAGCGUACCCUUGCAUCAUUAACUUGCAUCCUUAAAUUUCGUUUACUGGGACGGCCCUUGAAAAAUCCAGGAUUGAAGUGGGCUUUUUCUUCGGGUGGGGGGAGGAGGGUGGGGAGCAGGAGACAGGCGUGCAGAGAAGCACAUUCUCUGGUUUCCUGGUGGCUCAGACAAUAACGAGUCUGCCUGCAAUGCAGGAGACCCGGAUUCAAUCCCGGGGUUGGGAAGAUCCCUGGCGAGCAGAUAGUCUACCCACUCCCCACUCCAGUAUUCUUGUGUUUCCCUGCUGGAUCAGAUGGUAAAGAAUCUGCCUGCAGGGUGGGAGACCUGGGUUUGACCCUAGGUUGGGAAGAUCCCCUAAAGGAGGGCAUGACAAUGCACUCCAGUAUUCUUGCCUGGAGAAUCCCCAUGGACAGAGGAGCCUGAUGGGCUACAGUCCAUGGGGUAGCCAAGAAUUGGACAUGACUGAGCAACUAAUACCCUUCACACUCACACACACUCACAAACGCCCUUCACACUCACACACUCACAAACACCCUUCACACUCACACACACAAACGCCCUUCACACUCACUCACACUCACAAACGCCCUUCUUCUUCACCCAGACAUGCUAGCAUGGCUCUGCUGGCAGCUGCAAUGGCUGCCUAAUCAUCUUUAUGAAGAGAUGGCCUGGGGCGUCUAGUUCAGUUCAGUUCAAUCGCUCAGUCAUGUCCGACUCUUUGCAACCCCAUGAACCACAGCAUGCCGGCCCUCCCUGUCUGUCACCAACUCCCAGAGUUCAACCAAACCCAUGUUCAUUGAGCCGGUGAUGCCAUCCAACCAUCUCAUCCUCUGUCGUCCCCUUCUGCUCCUGCCCUCAAUCUUGCCCAUUAUCAGGGUCUUUCCCAAUGAGUCAGCUCUUCCCAAGAGGUGGACAAAGUACUGGAGUUUCAGCUUCAACAUCAGUCCUUCCAAUGAACACCCAGGACUGAUCUCCUUUAGGAUGGACUGGUUGGAUUUCCUUGCAGUCCAAGGGACCCUCAAGAGUCUUCUCCAAUACCACAGUUCAAAAGCAUCAAUUCUUUAGCGCUCAGCUUUCUUUAUAGUCCAACUCUCACAUCCAUACAUACCCACUGGAAAAAUCAUAGCCUUGACUAGACAGACCUUUGUUGGCAAAGUAAUGUCUCUGCUUUUGAAUAUGCUAUCUAGGUUGGUCAUAACUUUCCUUCCAAGGAACAAGUGUCUUUUAAUUCCAUGGCUGCAAUCACCAUCUGCAGUGAUUUUGGAGCCCAGAAAAAUAAAGUCUGACACUGUUUCCACUGUUUCCCCAUCUAUUUGCCAUGAAGUGAU
rnacentral:lncRNA from 1 species